rnacentral:rRNA from 1 species
GAUGAACGCUGGCGGCGUGCCUAAUACAUGCAAGUCGAGCGAAUGGAUUAAGAGCUUGCUCUUAUGAAGUUAGCGGCGGACGGGUGAGUAACACGUGGGUAACCUGCCCAUAAGACUGGGAUAACUCCGGGAAACCGGGGCUAAUACCGGAUAACAUUUUGAACCGCAUGGUUCGAAAUUGAAAGGCGGCUUCGGCUGUCACUUAUGGAUGGACCCGCGUCGCAUCAGCUAGUUGGUGAGGUAACGGCUCACCAAGGCAACGAUGCGUAGCCGACCUAAGAGGGUGAUCGGCCACACUGGGACUGAGACACGGCCCAGACUCCUACGGGAGGCAGCAGUAGGGAAUCUUCCGCAAUGGACGAAAGUCUGACGGAGCAACGCCGCGUGAGUGAUGAAGGCUUUCGGGUCGUAAAACUCUGUUGUUAGGGAAGAACAAGUGCUAGUUGAAUAAGCUGACACCUUGACGGUACCUAACCAGAAAGCCACGGCUAACUACGUGCCAGCAGCCGCUGUAA